rnacentral:lncRNA from 1 species
CUUAGGCGUUUGGUGCGCCUUGGGGACAGGUGUAGUGUCCAUUGCCUCGUGUGAGACGCCGGACAAGCGCUCUUGCGAGCGAGAGGUUUUCAGAGGGAGUCCCGCCUUGGAGGGCAAGACCCCUGCGCCCACCAGCCCGGAGGUCGAUGGGGCUCCCUGAGGGAUUUGGCUGCGCUGGCCGUUGCCAGCGCUGGAGGGGGCCUCGGAGGUUGGGGCAGCCUCGGCUGCGCCCACCUUCGGGGUCGAUGGCUCCGUCUGCUCUGUUGGCGGAGCAGCGCUAGCUGCAACCACCGUGGGGGCAGAUGGCGUGACUGGCGACUCACUGACUGUGGGUCGGACAGCCGCCGGAGGCCGUUGUGACGCUGCCCCCUGACGCGCCACAUCGGCAAAGGUUUUCCUGGGCAGCUCUGCGAGCUGUGGCCAAAACGUUGGCAUUUGAAACAUCUCAAGGGAUUUGGCACAUACGGGCGUACACGAAGCUUGAUGUACCCGGCCUCGAUUGACUCGGGCAGGACACUUGAAUUGAAGCCCUCCAAGAGCUCAGCCUCAGAGAGCUCCAGCAAAUCAUCGUCCGAGACAACGCCGCGGGAGGUAUUCAUCGUGCGGUGCGGGGUUACUACUACUUGGGUCUCCCCAAAUGAUACUAGCUGAGGCAGUUUUUCAAAUUGCUUCUGAUCGCGGAGCUCCAGGAGGAGGUCUCCGCUAGCCAUCCUCGACACCUUAUAUCCUGGACCAAAAACUUCGGUAAGAGACUUAGAUACAAGGAACGGGGAGAUUGUUCGCACUUGUUUAGCUGGUUUUUCAGAGUGGAUCACGUGAAAACGAGGGAAGGAUUCUUUUUGUCGACCAAAAAACUGGAAUAAAUCAUCGGUGCGCCCUCUUUUCUGAGGGCGAUCAGGAAGUGGAGGGAAGGAUGUUGCCAUAAAGGAAUUGAAUUUUCGGCAAUAACGCCAGCCACCCACCAUGGAGUCCUACAAGGGGACGCUACAGAGACUGUAAGAACAGGUCCUGUAAACGCCAGCUGUACGUCAUCACUAUAACCAAAUAUGAAAUAACCUAGGUUGGUUAAUCACACAA